UUCUUCGGUAGAGGGAACGCCCUUCUCCCAUGGCGAAUUCCCUCCUGCAAGUGCGACGCGGGGGCAAAAAAAAGUAGACGAGUCGAGAUAUCGUUUCGAUCGCCACUCCCCCCGUUGGCGAUUCGAUUGUUGCUCGACCACAU